rnacentral:rRNA from 1 species
GUAAUGCCGGAUGCUCCAUCACACCGCAUGGUGUGUUGGGAAAGCCUUUGCGGCAUGGGAUGGGGUCGCGUCCUAUCAGCUUGAUGGCGGGGUAACGGCCCACCAUGGCUUCGACGGGUAGCCGGCCUGAGAGGGCGACCGGCCACAUUGGGACUGAGAUACGGCCCAGACUCCUACGGGAGGCAGCAGUGGGGAAUAUUGCACAAUGGGCGCAAGCCUGAUGCAGCGACGCCGCGUGAGGGAUGGAGGCCUUCGGGUUGUAAACCUCUUUUGUUAGGGAGCAAGGCACUUUGUGUUGAGUGUACCUUUCGAAUAAGCACCGGCUAACUACGUGCCAGCAGCCGCGGUAAUACGUAGGGUGCAAGCGUUAUCCGGAAUUAUUGGGCGUAAAGGGCUCGUAGGCGGUUCGUCGCGUCCGGUGUGAAAGUCCAUCGCUUAACGGUGGAUCCGCGCCGGGUACGGGCGGGCUUGAGUGCGGUAGGGGAGACUGGAAUUCCCGGUGUAACGGUGGAAUGUGUAGAUAUCGGAAAA